UACAGAGGUGGCGAGCGUUAUUCGGAAUUAUUGGGCGUAAAGGGCGCGUAGGCGGCUUGACAAGUCCCGGGUGAAAUCCCUCGGCUCAACCGAGGAACUGCCUUGGAAACUGUCUGGCUUGAGGCCGGGAGAGGGUAGUGGAAUUCCCAGUGUAGCGGUGAAAUGCGUAGAUACUGGGAGGAACACCGGUGGCGAAGGCGGCUACCUGGACCGGUUCUGACGCUGAGGCGCGAAAGCUAGGGGAGCAAACAGG
rnacentral:rRNA from 1 species